AUCGCUUCUCGGCCUUUUGGCUAAGAUCAUGUGUAGUAUCUGUUCUUCAAUACUCACUGAUCUUAUGACCAGGGGAUCGGUUUCGGUCAGUUAGCUACAUUCUUUUAUGUAUCCAAUCUAA
rnacentral:snRNA from 1 species